GGGUAAUUAGCUCAGCGGUACGAGCUUCUGCCUUACAAGCAGAAUGUCACUGGUUCGAUUCCAGUAUUGCCCA
rnacentral:tRNA from 1 species